UCAUGUGGCAGUAGAUUUCCUUUGUUGUGGACUUGUUCUUUGCCUCGAAUUGCGCCUGGAUGUAGGCCGCUGCCUCGCCAUAUUCUUGCGCCCCUGUGAACAUUAGCGUGGGUGGAGAAAACGCAAAAUGAAUGAGAGAAGGAAACAAACAAAACGGUAACCAAACAAAAUAUGGAGUCGAACAGUUUCAAGGACUCUUGCAUGCGGUUCUGGUAGCAAAGUAACAAAAAAACAUUUGUAAAAGAUUCGCGUACCAGUUACAUCCCAUCUGGAAGAAGUUCUUCCAGGAAUUCGCACAACUGUGCAUGUAUAGUGAAGGUACUUCCAUCUAACAAGAGGAUCAGGUAAUGGUUUACCCCAAUUUCAGCAUCCUUAUCGUUUAUAUAGAAGAACAGCAUAAAGAAGACUGUCCAUGACUAAAUAAAGGUAAAGUGAAGGAAACGUGCGAAAAAAAAAAGACUAUGGGUAGAAAAACAGGAUUUCAUGUUCUUAUACCUAGCAUCUAUAACACCUCUAAGAUUGCUGUCUAUAUUUGUAUUAAGUGCAGUUGCCACAACUGAAAGAGGACCGAGUCACGAGCUGACUCACAGACAGAACUAUUCUGCACGACACAUAC